rnacentral:rRNA from 1 species
AUUGAACGCUGGCGGCAUGCUUUACACAUGCAAGUCGAACGGUAACAGGUUAAGCUGACGAGUGGCGAACGGGUGAGUAAUGCAUCGGAACGUGCCCGGUCGUGGGGGAUAACGCAGCGAAAGCUGCGCUAAUACCGCAUACGAUCUGAGGAUGAAAGCGGGGGACCGUAAGGCCUCGCGCGAUCGGAGCGGCCGAUGUCAGAUUAGGUAGUUGGUGGGGUAAAGGCCCACCAAGCCGACGAUCUGUAGCUGGUCUGAGAGGACGACCAGCCACACUGGGACUGAGACACGGCCCAGACUCCUACGGGAGGCAGCAGUGGGGAAUUUUGGACAAUGGGCGCAAGCCUGAUCCAGCAAUGCCGCGUGCAGGAUGAAGGCCUUCGGGUUGUAAACUGCUUUUGUACGGAGCGAAAAGGCUCUCUCUAAUACAGGGGGCUCAUGACGGUACCGUAAGAAUAAGCACCGGCCAACUACGUGCCAGCCGCCGCGGUAAUAC